rnacentral:tRNA from 1 species
GGGGGUGUCGCCCAGCGGGCGGGCAGGAGAUUUAGGGUCUCCCUACGCGGGUUCGAAUCCCGUCGCCUCCA